rnacentral:tRNA from 1 species
GACCACGUGACCGAGUUGGCUAGGUCACAGGGAUGCCUCCCUGUGUACGCGGGUUCGAGUCCCGCCGUGGUCUCCA